rnacentral:rRNA from 1 species
AACGAACGCUGGCGGCGUGCUUAAUAUAUGCAAGUCGUACGUGAUCCGGAGUUUGCUCCGGUGAAAGUGGCGCACGGGUGAGUAACGCGUGGAUAACCUGCCCUGGUAUCUGGGAUAACAUCUCGAAAGGGGUGCUAAUACCGGAUAAGCCCACGGCUUCUUUGGAAGCUGCGGGAAAAGGUGGCCUCUGUCUCAAGCUACCGUAUCAGGAUGGGUCCGCGUACCAUUAGCUAGUUGGUAGGGUAAUGGCCUACCAAGGCGAUGAUGGUUAGCUGGUCUGAGAGGAUGAUCAGCUAUACUGGAACUGAGACACGGUUUAGACUCCUAUGGGAGGUAGCAGUGGGGAAUUUUGCGCAAUGGGGGAAACCCUGACGCAGCAACGCCGCGUGAGUGAUGAAGGCUCUCGGGUCGUAAAGCUCUGUCAGAGGGGAAGAAGUGAUGUGCGGUUAAUACCCGCACUUCUUGACGGUACCCUCAAAGGAAGCACCGGCUAACUCCGUGCCAGUAGUCGUGGUAAUACGGAGGGUGCAAGCGUUGUUCGGAUUUAUUGGGCGUAAAGCGCGUGUAGGCGGUCUCUUAAGUCUGAUGUGAAAGCCCCGGGCUUAACCCGGGAAGUGCAUUGGAUACUGGGAGACUUGAAUACGGGAGAGGGUAGUGGAAUUCCUAGUGUAGGAGUGAAAUCCGUAGAUAUUAGGAGGAACACUGGUGGCGAAGGUGGCUACCUGGACCGAUAUUGACGCUGAGACGCGAAAGCGUGGGGAGCAAACAGGAUUAGAUAUCCUGGUAGUCCACGCCGUAAAUGAUGAGAACUAGGUGUUGCGGGUAUUGAUUCCUGCAGUGCCGCAGUUAAUGUAUUAAGUUCUCUGUUUGGGAAGUACGGUCGUAAGACUA